UUUGUUGGUUUCUUGAUGCUUACAGUUACACUACUUUGAUCGUUUCAAGUGGUUUCAGAAGAUGAGUAUCACAAGAUAUAAAGAAAAGACCCCAAGUCCUAAGAUUGAGAAGAAGAGUGGCGAUGGUGGUGGGAUGAGGAUUCGUCUCUCUCUUUUCACUACAGAGAAAACCUAGAAACUGGGUCUCCUUUCGUAGGAGAAGCAACAAGACUUUAUUGGUUAUGUAGAGGAAUAGUUUCAACGGGAGGAUACAACAACACGACAUGGAAAACUAUCCUAUAAGAUGAAC